rnacentral:rRNA from 1 species
UACGUAGGGGGCAAGCGUUGUCCGGAAUUAUUGGGCGUAAAGGGCGCGUAGGCGGCUUUUCAAGUGACGGGUGAAAUCCCUCGGCUUAACCGAGGAACUGCCUGUCAGACUGGAAGGCUUGAGACCGGGAGAGGUGAGUGGAAUUCCCAGUGUAGCGGUGAAAUGCGUAGAUAUUGGGAGGAACACCAGUGGCGAAGGCGGCUCACUGGACCGGUACUGACGCUGAGGCGCGAAAGCGUGGGGAGCAAACAGG